CAAUGGGACAGGCUCCACCGGCUAGGUCAUUACUCCGAGCUUCCAUGACAACCGAUCUUCGAUCGAGCUUCUAUAAUAAGCGGCCUCCUUUUAGCCUUCUGCAAGAAUCGGACUCCGUCCAAACUUCCACAGUGGAUGGAUUCCGGACGAGCUUCUACAACAGAUGAGCUCCAGUAGCUAGAUUUCUACAACGAUCGAUCGCCUCCGGUGUCUGCCGAACCUCCCCAGCCAUCAGCCCUCAAUAGUGUCAGUCGGACUUCCACAACGCCAUCCAGACUUCCACAGGAUCCCCAGACUCUUCCAGCGGACGGGCCUCCCCAACGCCAUCCGAAGUCCACCGCCAGCCGACCCUCUACCAAAUUCUUCAUGAAACUGGACUUCUCUGGCGGAUAAUCUUCAGACGAGCUUUGACAUCAGGCAAAUUCCAGACAGACUUCUCUAACAAUCGGUCUCC
rnacentral:lncRNA from 1 species